AAAGAUAUAUGUAAUGAAUAUAUCGAACAUUAAGUGCAGCCGAAUUAGUAAUUACACUCCAUCUAUGUGAUUAAUUUUAAGAAAAAGUAAAGAUGUUGGCUUAUGUCAGAUAUACUAACUGUUAUUCUAUAAAUGUGGAUUUGGGUUAGCUAGUUCUUCCGGUUUUCAAAGUAGGGUUGUAAAAUAGGGUCAUAAUAUCAGACAUCUAUUGAAUAUAUCAAACAUUUAGGGCAGCCGAAUCAGUAAUUACACUUCUUGAUAUUUAAAAAAAGUAAAUAUGUUUAUUUCACAUAGUUUUACAGCCGCUUCAUAUAUUUUUUUCUGUUUUCUUUUUUGACUUCUUUUUUAAUUUACAUAUAUACAUAUUUUUAAAUUCUCUUUACUGAAAUACUGUUUCUUAUGUUUUAUGAUUUAAAGUGCAAGCGACGAGAAGUGACGUCAUUCACCACGUCUCGUUCGCGGUACUUGGUAACGCGGGUACUGUCCUCGUGCGGGAAACGGAGAGAAACACAGGUUUAGAAAAUGUUUAGUAGAAGGAAGAAGCAGUCAUGACGAAGCCCAAAGCAAGAAGCUGCCCCUAUUGUGGAGCAAGCAUCAUGCCAAUCAGAAGACCUGUGCCAGCUGCUGUGUUUGCCUCCUGCAAAAAAAGUCUUUCAAAGAAAAAGAAAAGAAAAAAAAUUGACUUGGAUGUGUUGUGUGUGUGCAUCCAUUGUAUUCAUUAAAGGUUAUUGAACAUAA